rnacentral:tRNA from 2 species
GCCGACUUAGCUCAGCAGGCAGAGCAACUGACUUGUAAUCAGUAGGUCACCAGUUCGAUUCCCGCUGCCCGCUCCA